UCUCCUUCUCCUUCCUCCUCCCUCUCCUCUCUUCCCCUAAGAACCAGCAGCAACUCCAGCUGCGAUCUUUUGAUUGCACUAGUCGUGACCUUCUGGUCGCAACUAGAUCUGAUUGUGACCAGAAAGGCUGCGCUAUUGUAGGUCGGAUUGGCAAUCUCCGAGUGGGUCUAAGGGGGGAGGAGGGGUAGGGAAGAAGGAGAAAAAGAGGGAGGAAGAGGGGGAGAAUGGAAAGGGGAGGGGAUGAAGGGGAAAGAGAGGGAAAAAGGAUGAGAGAGAGGAGGGAAGAGGAGGGAGGCGGUGGUGGAGAUUGGUGGUGGUGG
rnacentral:lncRNA from 1 species